rnacentral:pre_miRNA from 1 species
GGAUAUCAUCGUAUACUGUAAGUUGGAAUCAGACACUACAGUAUAGAUGAUGUACUA